AUGAGACGCGACGCGAGGUGGGCCGUCCGACUCCGAUCUGCUUUGAGAUUCGGGGGCCGAGGCCCAAGGCCCACACUGACGAGGGGAGAGCGUAGGCAAAUCCGGGAUUCCGGCGAGGGCGGCGGCGCCGGCGCCGGCGAGACGGCGAACGCUCCUCCGGUGCGGGAGGAGAUGAGGGAGGGAGAGAGGGACGGCGUUCGUGGUGGGGAUUCACCGGCUGCGACGGGCGCUCGGUACCAGUGCUUGAGGGUGUGCCGGGGGAAGAACUUACUGUCGGUGUCCGGAUGGAAGAAGCCGAGCGCGAACCUGCCAUUGCGAGAGACAAGCUUCUCAUCUUUCGGGAGUGCUUCACCGGCUGAAAUCGUGUCCGUUGCAGCAGAACACGCCGGAGAAUGUAUGGAGAAGAGCAGAGGCACAAGAAUGAUGAAGGUACGAAGCAUGGUGAAUGAAGAGGAUAAGAACGAGGAAUGCGAUUUCGGUGUUUGGGGGUGCUGGUGUGUCACGCCCGGAAUUUCUAUCCAAAAUUCCAAACGCUUACAUGUGUGUUAAACCCUCGUCC
rnacentral:lncRNA from 1 species